rnacentral:rRNA from 1 species
GACGAACGCUGGCGGCGUGCCUAAUACAUGCAAGUAGAACGCACAGUUUAUACCGUAGCUUGCUACACCAUAGACUGUGAGUUGCGAACGGGUGAGUAACGCGUAGGUAACCUGCCUGGUAGCGGGGGAUAACUAUUGGAAACGAUAGCUAAUACCGCAUAAUAUUGAUUAUUGCAUGAUAAUUAAUUGAAAGGUGCAAUUGCACCACUACCAGAUGGACCUGCGUUGUAUUAGCUAGUAGGUGAGGUAACGGCUCACCUAGGCGACGAUACAUAGCCGAGCUGAGCGGGUGAUCGGCCGCACUGGGACUGAGACACGGCCCAGAGUCCUACGGGAGGCAGCAGUAGGGAAUCUUCGGCAAUGGCCGAAAGUCUGACCGAGCAACGCCGCGUGAGUGAAGACGAAUUUCGGAUCGUAAAGCUCUGUUGUAAGAGAAGAACGGGUGUGAGAGUGGAAAGUUCACACUGUGACGGUAUCUUACAAGAAAGGGACGGCUAACUACGUG